GGGUUGUGAGGUUAAGCGACUAAGCGUACACGGUGGAUGCCCUGGCAGUCAGAGGCGAUGAAGGACGUGCUAAUCUGCGAUAAGCGUCGGUGAGGUGAUAUGAACCGUUAUAACCGGCGAUUUCCGAAUGGGGAAACCCAGUGUGUUUCGACACACUAUCAUUAACUGAAUCCAUAGGUUAAUGAGGCGAACCGGGGGAACUGAAACAUCUAAGUACCCCGAGGAAAAGAAAUCAACCGAGAUUCCCCCAGUAGCGGCGAGCGAACGGGGAGGAGCCCAGAGCCUGAAUCAGUGUGUGUGUUAGUGGAAGCGUCUGGAAAGGCGUGCGAUACAGGGUGACAGCCCCGUACACAAAAAUGCACAUGCUGUGAGCUCGAUGAGUAGGGCGGGACACGUGGUAUCCUGUCUGAAUAUGGGGGGACCAUCCUCCAAGGCUAAAUACUCCUGACUGACCGAUAGUGAACCAGUACCGUGAGGGAAAGGCGAAAAGAACCCCGGCGAGGGGAGUGAAAAAGAACCUGAAACCGUGUACGUACAAGCAGUGGGAGCCUCUUAAUGGGGUGACUGCGUACCUUUUGUAUAAUGGGUCAGCGACUUAUAUUCUGUAGCAAGGUUAACCGAAUAGGGGAGCCGAAGGGAAACCGAGUCUUAACUGGGCGUUAAGUUGCAGGGUAUAGACCCGAAACCCGGUGAUCUAGCCAUGGGCAGGUUGAAGGUUGGGUAACACUAACUGGAGGACCGAACCGACUAAUGUUGAAAAAUUAGCGGAUGACUUGUGGCUGGGGGUGAAAGGCCAAUCAAACCGGGAGAUAGCUGGUUCUCCCCGAAAGCUAUUUAGGUAGCGCCUCGUGAAUUCAUCUCCGGGGGUAGAGCACUGUUUCGGCAAGGGGGUCAUCCCGACUUACCAACCCGAUGCAAACUGCGAAUACCGGAGAAUGUUAUCACGGGAGACACACGGCGGGUGCUAACGUCCGUCGUGAAGAGGGAAACAACCCAGACCGCCAGCUAAGGUCCCAAAGUCAUGGUUAAGUGGGAAACGAUGUGGGAAGGCCCAGACAGCCAGGAUGUUGGCUUAGAAGCAGCCAUCAUUUAAAGAAAGCGUAAUAGCUCACUGGUCGAGUCGGCCUGCGCGGAAGAUGUAACGGGGCUAAACCAUGCACCGAAGCUGCGGCAGCGACACUAUGUGUUGUUGGGUAGGGGAGCGUUCUGUAAGCCUGUGAAGGUGUGCUGUGAGGCAUGCUGGAGGUAUCAGAAGUGCGAAUGCUGACAUAAGUAACGAUAAAGCGGGUGAAAAGCCCGCUCGCCGGAAGACCAAGGGUUCCUGUCCAACGUUAAUCGGGGCAGGGUGAGUCGACCCCUAAGGCGAGGCCGAAAGGCGUAGUCGAUGGGAAACAGGUUAAUAUUCCUGUACUUGGUGUUACUGCGAAGGGGGGACGGAGAAGGCUAUGUUGGCCGGGCGACGGUUGUCCCGGUUUAAGCGUGUAGGCUGGUUUUCCAGGCAAAUCCGGAAAACCAAGGCUGAGGCGUGAUGACGAGGCACUACGGUGCUGAAGUGACAAAUGCCCUGCUUCCAGGAAAAGCCUCUAAGCAUCAGGUAACAUUAAAUCGUACCCCAAACCGACACAGGUGGUCAGGUAGAGAAUACCAAGGCGCUUGAGAGAACUCGGGUGAAGGAACUAGGCAAAAUGGUGCCGUAACUUCGGGAGAAGGCACGCUGAUAUGUAGGUGAAGCGACUUGCUCGUGGAGCUGAAAUCAGUCGAAGAUACCAGCUGGCUGCAACUGUUUAUUAAAAACACAGCACUGUGCAAACACGAAAGUGGACGUAUACGGUGUGACGCCUGCCCGGUGC
rnacentral:rRNA from 1 species